rnacentral:rRNA from 1 species
AACGAACGCUGGCGGCAUGCCUAACACAUGCAAGUCGAACGCCUUGGCUUCGGCCAGGGAGUGGCGCACGGGUGAGUAACGCGUGGGAACCUGCCCGGCAGUACGGGACAACCGCGGGAAACUGCGGCUAAUACCGUAUACGGCCUGAGGGCGAAAGAAUUUCGCUGUCGGAGGGGCCCGCGUCGGAUUAGGUAGUUGGUGGGGUAACGGCCUACCAAGCCUGCGAUCCGUAGCUGGUCUGAGAGGAUGAUCAGCCACACUGGGACUGAGACACGGCCCAGACUCCUACGGGAGGCAGCAGUGGGGAAUAUUGGACAAUGGGCGCAAGCCUGAUCCAGCAAUGCCGCGUGAGUGAUGAAGGCCUUAGGGUUGUAAAGCUCUUUCGCCCGCGACGAUGAUGACGGUAGCGGGAGAAGAAGCCCCGGCUAACUCCGUGCCAGCAGCCGCGGUAAUACGGAGGGGCUAGCGUUGUUCGGAAUUACUGGGCGUAAAGGGCGCGCA